CCUACGGGAGGCAGCAGUGGGGAAUUGUUCGCAAUGGGCGCAAGCCUGACGACGCAACGCCGCGUGGAGGAUGAAGGUCUUCGGAUUGUAAACUCCUGUUGACCGGGACGAAUGGGCUUUGACCUAACACGUCGAAGCAGUGACGGUACCGGUUGAGGAAGCCACGGCUAACUCUGUGCCAGCAGCCGCGGUAAUACAGAGGUGGCAAGCGUUGUUCGGAAUUACUGGGCGUAAAGGGCGCGUAGGCGGUCGCCUCAGUCGGACGUGAAAUCCCCAAGCUUAACUUGGGAACUGCGUCCGAUACUGGGUGACUUGAGUUCGGGAGAGGAAUGUGGAAUUCCAGGUGUAGCGGUGAAAUGCGUAGAUAUCUGGAGGAACACCGGUGGCGAAGGCGGCAUUCUGGACCGAAACUGACGCUGAGGCGCGAAAGCCAGGGGAGC
rnacentral:rRNA from 1 species